rnacentral:lncRNA from 1 species
UGGACAAAACCAGAGUUAUCAAUCAAGACAAGCAAUAAACAAAGCUUUCAAGAAAGGAGGCACUCAAACAGAACCUACCAAAAGAUCUAAAGCAGAUUUUAAAAACAAGAAAAGACAAACAAGAAGCUGCUGAACUGUCAAAGAUAAACCCAGUUCCAGUUUCCAAAAUCUGAUUCUGCGUUUUAGUUUUUAAAAACAUGGAUUGCACAGGCCUAUUUGGCUUUUCAAAACUUUCAAU